rnacentral:rRNA from 1 species
AUUGAACGCUGGCGGCAGGCCUAACACAUGCAAGUCGAACGGUAACAGGAAGCAGCUUGCUGCUUUGCUGACGAGUGGCGGACGGGUGAGUAAUGUCUGGGAAACUGCCUGAUGGAGGGGGAUAGCUACUGGAAACGGUAGCUAAUACCGCAUAACGUCGCAAGACCAAAGAGGGGGACCUUCGGGCCUCUUGCCAUCGGAUGUGCCCAGAUGGGAUUAGCUAGUAGGUGGGGUAACGGCUCACCUAGGCGACGAUCCCUAGCUGGUCUGAGAGGAUGACCAGCCACACUGGAACUGAGACACGGUCCAGACUCCUACGGGAGGCAGCAGUGGGGAAUAUUGCACAAUGGGCGCAAGCCUGAUGCAGCCAUGCCGCGUGUAUGAAGAAGGCCUUCGGGUUGUAAAGUACUUUCAGCGGGGAGGAAGGGAGUAAAGUUAAUACCUUUGCUCAUUGACGUUACCCGCAGAAGAAGCACCGGCUAACUCCGUG